rnacentral:tRNA from 1 species
GGGAAUGUAGCUUAAUUGGUGAAAGUGUCGACCUGUCACGUCGAAGAGUGCGGGUUCAAAUCCCGUCUUUCUCG